GGAUGUGAGGGCGAUGUGGCUGCAAUACCUGUCACCCCACUGGUCACUUGGGUUGACCUGGCUGGCCAGGCAGAGGUCCCCUUCCUCCCUCACCGCUCCAUGUGCAUCCCUCCUGAGUGUCUGAGGAGCUGCACUCCCCUGCUGGAACCUCCAAACAAGCUCUCACCUGACAGAGCCAGUAUGAGCCAUGCUUGAUAGAAUCGUGUGAACAGCUGUGAAACAAGAUUUCCAC
rnacentral:snRNA from 1 species